rnacentral:rRNA from 1 species
ACUCCUACUGGAGGCAGCAGUAGGGAAUCUUCCACAAUGGGCGCAAGCCUGAUGGAGCAACACCGCGUGAGUGAAGAAGGGUUUCGGCUCGUAAAGCUCUGUUGUUAAAGAAGAACACGUAUGAGAGUAACUGUUCAUACGUUGACGGUAUUUAACCAGAAAGUCACGGCUAACUACGUGCCAGCAGCCGCGGUAAUACGUAGGUGGCAAGCGUUAUCCGGAUUUAUUGGGCGUAAAGAGAGUGCAGGCGGUUUUCUAAGUCUGAUGUGAAAGCCUUCGGCUUAACCGGAGAAGUGCAUCGGAAACUGGAUAACUUGAGUGCAGAAGAGGUAGUGGAACUCCAUGUGUAGCGGUGGAAUGCGUAGAUAUAUGGAAGAACACCAGUGGCGAAGGCGGCUACCUGGUCUGCAACUGACGCUGAGACUCGAAAGCAUGGGUAGCGAACAGGAUUAGAUACCCCUGGUAGGAUAGCG